rnacentral:rRNA from 1 species
UACAGAGGGGGCAAGCGUUAUUCGGAAUUAUUGGGCGUAAAGGGCGCGUAGGCGGCUUUGCAAGUGACGGGUGAAAUCCCUCGGCUUAACCGAGGAACUGCCUGUCAGACUGCAUGGCUUGAGACCGGGAGAGGUGAGUGGAAUUCCCAGUGUAGCGGUGAAAUGCGUAGAUAUUGGGAGGAACAUCAGUGGCGAAGGCGGCUAUCUGGACUAACACUGACACUGAGACUCGAAAGCGUGGGGAGCAAACAGG